AGCACGCCGCGUGAGUGAUGAAGGCUUUCGGGUCGUAAAACUCUGUUGUUAGGGAAGAACAAGUGCUAGUUGAAUAAGCUGGCACCUUGACGGUACCUAACCAGAAAGCCACGGCUAACUACGUGCCAGCAGCCGCGGUAAUACGUAGGUGGCAAGCGUUAUCCGGAAUUAUUGGGCGUAAAGCGCGCGCAGGUGGUUUCUUAAGUCUGAUGUGAAAGCCCACGGCUCAACCGUGGAGGGUCAUUGGAAACUGGGAGACUUGAGUGCAGAAGAGGAAAGUGGAAUUCCAUGUGUAGCGGUGAAAUGCGUAGAGAUAUGGAGGAACACCAGUGGCGAAGGCGACUUUCUGGUCUGUAACUGACACUG
rnacentral:rRNA from 1 species